GUACAAAUUACUGUAUUAGUCAGGGUUGUAGCAGGAAACAGAUGGCACAACCAAAAGUAAUGAUCAAAGAGGGUGUAGGCAAGAAUAACAAAAAUCUAUGGAGAUGGUGCAGCAGCUUAGGCUAAGCAAGAGCAAGAUCUUUCUACUUCUAAAAUGAAAAGGCAGGGAAAAGUUGUUCCUGAACCCAUGAGAUGUAUAUAUGGAGAAGGCUAUGUCAGAAGCUGUGAUGCUGAGGAACACAGCUAUUUCCAAGCCACUGCAGGGCAGGAAGGGAGUGUGAAGCUGAGAUUUAAAAACAGAAGGACGAGUAACCUGGGUCAGAACAUCUUCAGAUAACAGAUCCAUCGGGUUUCCUAAGAGCAACUGCAACAAAAUGGUGCUCAUCUAUUUUGCUUUCCUGAAAGAUAAAAGCCUAAUGGGCCUAUCAGAGAGCCUGUUCCAAGGAGAGACAGACACACAGAGAGGAGACAGAAAAGGUCAUUUGAAGGUGAAGGCAAAAAUUGGAGUGAUGCAACUGCAAGCCAAGGACUGCUAGGAAUGAGCAGAAACUAGGAAGAAGCAAGGAAGGAUUCUUUCUUAGAACCUUCAGAGAGACCAUGGCCCUGCUGACACCUUAACUUCCAGCCUUCCAGAACUUACAGAAGAGCUUUCGGUCACUUUAAGACACCAUGUUUGAGGUACUUUGUUAAGCAGCCUGAAGAAACUAAUAUACACAUGGAUACAAUUUAAAUUAUACAUAAGCACACACAUUCGCGUACCCUUCGGAGUUUUAAUUCUAUGUCCCUGCAGUCAAAUGUUCAAAUGCUGGUCCAUCACUUCUUAGCUA
rnacentral:lncRNA from 10 species